UACAGAGGGUGCGAGCGUUAAUCGGAUUUACUGGGCGUAAAGCGUGUGUAGGUGGCUACCUAAGUCGAUUGUGAAAUCCCUGGGCUCAACCUGGGAAUUGCAGUCGAUACUGGGAAGCUCGAGUUCGGUAGAGGACGGCGGAAUUCCCGGUGUAGCGGUGAAAUGCGUAGAUAUCAGGAGGAACACCAAUUGCGAAGGCAGCUCGCUGGGACGUUACUGACGCUGAGACGCGAAAGCGUGGGGAGCAAACAGG
rnacentral:rRNA from 1 species